rnacentral:tRNA from 1 species
GGGGAUUUGGCUCAGAGGUAGAGCGCUUGCCUAGGAAGCGCAAGGUCCUGGGUUCAAUCCCCAGCCCUG